AAAAAAGUGAGAGAGAAAAGUAGUGAAAUAAUAGCUGAAUACAUUUUGUUCUUCUGUCAAUUUUACUUGGAUUUUAAUCACAAAGUUCAUCAAGUGCACUGUUUACAUCAUUUGCAUCUCUAAUAACCCUCAUCAUUUUCUUUGUUAAGUUAUUACAUAUGUGUCAACAAAAGAAUAUCCAAGACUUCUUGGGUUCUAAGAUCCAUGAUCUGUAGGAUGUCCAUGUCAAGCGAGACUGAGAGCACCAUUCAAUUCUAUUAACACUUCUCCAAUCCUCAACACUGAUGAUUUUUCUCCAUUCAGCCUCAACAAUUUCAUCCAUGGUCUCACUAAUCUGACUCUGUCAUUGACAUGUUGACCAGAAAUAAAACAGUCUUUCUUGAUAACUGCGAUUGAUGACUCUCUAAACACAUCAGCAGACAAUUCUAGUGGAUUAUCAUCUAUUAAACAUUCUGGUGAAGCAACCUUGUGUAAGACCUCAUAUCUCACAUCAAACACCAAAACAAAAUGCAUUAACUCAGCAUCCUUCCUCUUUUGACAUGAAAUCCAAUGCAAGGCAUCAUUAUCACAUAAUUGGGCACAAUAUUUAAUAAUACUCUUCCAAGAAUCAAUUAUAAAAAAACGGUGCCCAGCCUCAACCAGAGGGACUCUUUGGCUAUAUUUCUAUGACAUUUGUGUGUAUCAAAAAGGGAAAAACUAAGUCCAGCACUAGAAUUAAAGCUGGCCUGAUAGAAAUAGGAAGUGACAGUGGGCUGUAGAAGUUCAAAGGGUUUUUGAUUUUAGGGGUUUCAAAGUAUGAUUAGUUUUUGCAUCCAUUUUUUUGAUAAGCAGAUAAUUAGUUUUGUAUCCAUAACAUAAGCUUUUAUUGAAGAGGAAGACCAGGCUGUUGCAAGAACCAAUGAGGCAGCAUAAUGAAGUUGGGUGUUUCUAAAGAGAGAAUGAAUGACUUCAUAAUUCAUACAACAAUACAUUUCGACAGAGAUUUUGAUGGCACCAUGUAGAGGAUUUCUACUGCCCAUUCUUCAAGCUGAUUAAAUCAGAAGAUUUUUCUUCAGGAUGAUAAAGGCUUAGCCAUUUUCCACCUAUUUUUAUGGCCACUGCUUCACCAUAAAAUGGAACAUCUUUCUAUUCAAUGAAUUGUUGCAGAAAAGAUGUGAAACAUGGUGCAACUGGAUAUGUCAAGCAUUAUUCAACUGAAAUUGCCUUAUCCAUUAACAAACAUGACAUCGUCUCUUGUAAAUUAAACGCCGGUACAUAGUUUCUAUUGUUAUAGAGCAAAAUUACAUACACAGAGAGAACAAAACAGCAAAUAUCAAAAAAGAACGGCAGAAGGUACUUAACUUUUCUACUCCUUGAUUGUUUUCUGCCCAGACAGUGCAUCAAUUGAUCUUCUACUUCGCUUUGCAUCACUUGGUCAACCUGUAUCAGUUCCAUUGCAUCCCCUGCAUCCCCUGCAUCAUUUCCUUUAUCAAGCAAGGCUAGGCUCUCCAAAUGGCUAGAACCAAAACAAUAUUUAAUUAUCUGGCGAUUUACAAGAUUCUUAAAAUUCUUAGGUCGGUGGCUCCUUAGGUCAAGUGAAGCUAUCUCUGCCCGCGAGAAAAUCCCAUUGACACUUGUGACUUGUCCAUUGUUACUAAACGCCAACACUGUUGAACAGCCUUUCCAGCGUUUGCCCACUGUCACUAUAUUCACCCGAUUCCACUACACCAUACUCUUCCAUCACCCAUAUGCGCGAAUGAUAAGGAUCAAGCCGAUUUUAUUUUCUAAUAGCUGCAAUUGAUGACUUCCCAAAUACCUUAACACACAAGUCAUAAGCACUAACAUUAACCAGACAUUCCGGCAGCAUAAUCUCAUCAAAGACCUCAUCUCUUACAUCGAAUACCAUGAUCAAACUCCUGAUUCCACGAACCACAAUCCCAUGCAAUGCACCAUUUACAAAAAUCCCGAUUCCAUGCCCUCCAAACUCGUUAAUGGGAGCAAUAUGAGGAAUGUUCUUCCAAGAAUCCGCGUUAAGAAAGUAGAGCUCAACAACCGGAGGUCCUCGUUCAAUGCUAAAUUGACAAGGGUAAUCAGCGAUUCACAGGACUUUGCAAUCAUUGGAGCUGAAAGACAAAACCAAGGCAGACCCAGCUGCUGAAACUGGGUUGAGGAAGUGUUAUGGAUUUCCUAAUGGAAGGAUUCCAGAUGAUGAGUUUGCGACGCAGACUAUACCAUUGCAAGAACCAGGGACGCGAAACCUCUCGUUGGCGAUCGAUGAAUGGUACACGCAUGUACUCCUUAAACUCUUUGUUGCCAAGACGCAAAGAGAAUUCCAGUGUUCCACCAUGUCUAGGCAGAGUAGGAGUAGUGGAUAAAUCGCAUGGUGGGUGGAAAAGAAUUUGGGGCUUUUGACGAGAGAACACCAUGAUUUGCACG
rnacentral:misc_RNA from 1 species